rnacentral:lncRNA from 1 species
GUGGACUCAGGGCCUGCCCAUAACUUAUAUCAGCCCAGAGCUGCAGGCCCGAACUUGCUGGUCUCCAGGGGUCCGGCCUCCCUCUCUGGACCGCAGAUAAAGAAACUGAGGCUCAGAGAGGCGAUGCAACUUACCUGAGACUCAGCAACGACAGAAUUUGCACCCAGAUCUCUAAGACUCCAAGGAGAAGAAGCACAGUAUAAUAAUAUAUGGCCCAGGUACUGCGGGGUCUCCACGGAAGAGAAAGGACAAUAUGGAAAAUCUUCAUUCAAUACUUAAUUUCUCAGUGCCCACAUUCCAAAGCAGGCACAGAAUGAGCUGGACAGACCUCAGCCUGCACCUCCACCCUGCUUCUUCCAGAAAAUCACAGAAAUAAUAUUUCUUGGUAAUAAAAUAAAGGCAGACCCUGCCACUUUUCCUUCCUGCCUGUGCAGGCAGAUGCGCUGUGUGGCGGAUCUCAGUGUCAGAAAGACGGCUGGAGGGGAGAAGUGUGGCCGCCCUCAGUCAAUUAAUGGCGGUAAUUACACACUGCAAACAGUCUGGGGUAUAAUUAAGACUGGAGGCCCAGGGCUGGGUGUGCACCCCAUUGAGAUGAGCACCAUCAAACAAUGGGGGUUGGAGACUCAGCUCUCUCCAGGAGACAUCAACAUGUCUGGUCCAGCCCUUGGGGCAGGCUGCA